CAACAUAGACGACUGUCCUACCAGUAUUGAAUUCAACAGCGUUUGAUGAGUGAGCUGACGAGAGCCGCCUAGAUGAAUUUUCCUUUGAUGUCCCCAGCCAGCUCUUCACCAAGAAUAAAUAACCUUGACCAUCAAAGAUGGCAAAAAUCACCUAAGAUCAAAGGUCACAAGUGCUCAUCUCCUGUUUAGGCUUCGCCUAUGGAGUCCAGAGAGAAAACAAGGCCUCCAUAAUCUGGGGUGCACAUAUAGGAGCAAAGCCAUGGUGAAAUGUGUUUGUUUGGCAGGUCAGGGAUGCCUUCACACAGUUGCAUGAGUCUCUGCAUCCCAGUGUUCCAGACCAGGAACUUCACGCAAAUGUGUACUCCAAGGUCAAAAUGGCAUAGCGAGAGAUGAUCUGGUUGCUGGCAAUAACCAUUGAGAUGAACCCAAGACUCAAUUUCGAGGUUUACAGCGACUUUAUAGGCCGCAACAAGUUCUUGGUUGCUGACAUCCAGCCAGACAGUCAGUGCCACUUUGUAUUCGCCGCUCAAGAUCAGCUGUCCCUGCUCUGUGAAGCAUGAUGCUAAUACAUGGACAGAACCUUCAAGAUAUUCCACAGCAGCAGCUGCGACUGAUGCCAGGGGGAAUAACAGUUGUUUUUCAUUCAAAAUGUAGAUAAACAUGAAUAAACUUAAAUCUUAUACCCUGUGUGUCAAAUUAUUUUUGAAUUUUGUAUAGAUUUGAGGGUCAAAGGUCAAGGUCAUUUAAGAUUGAUAUUGUAUAGUUUUUAGGGUCAAAGGUCAUUUUGGAUUGAUAUUGUAUAGAUUUUAGGGUCAAAAGGUCAUUUCUGAUUUUACUUUGUAUAGUUGAAGGUCAAGGUCAUAUUGGAUUAAUAGGAUAUAUUUUAGGGUCAAAGGUCAUUUGGGAUAGAUUUUAGAGUCAAAGGUCAAGGUCAUUUCUGCUUUACUUUGUUGUGUCAAGGUCAUUGGAUUGAUAUUGUACAUAUUUUAGGGUCAAAGGUCAUUUAGGAUAUAUUUUAUGGUCAAAGGUCAAGGCCAUUGGAUUGAUAUUGUACAUAUUUUAUGGUCAAAGGUCAUUAGGGAUAUAUUUUAGGGUCAAAGGUCAAGGUCAUUUCUGAUUAACUUUGUAUAGUUUAGGACAAGGUCAUAUUGGAUUGAUAUUGUAUAGAUUUUAGGGUCAAAGGUCAUCUGGGAUUGAUAUUGUAUAGAUUUUAGAGUCAAAGGACAAGGUCAUUUCCGAUUGAUUUUGUGUAGUUGAGGGUCAAGGACAAGGUCAUUUCCGAUUGAUUUUGUAUAGUUGAGGGGCAAAGGUCAUUUGGGAUUGAUAUUAUAUAGAUUUUAGGGUCAGAGGUCAAAGUCAUUUCUGAUUAACUUUGUAUAGUUGAGGGUCAAAAGUCAAGGUCAUAUUGGAUUGAUAGUAUAGAUUUUAGGGUCAAAGGCCUUGCUGAUUUACUUUACAUAAUCAAAGGUCAAUGUCAUUGGAUUGAUAUCGUAUAGAUUUUAGGGUCAAAGGUAAAUUCUGAUUACUUUGUACAGUUGAGGGUCAAAGGUCAAGGUCAUAUUGGAUUGAUAUUGUAUCAUUU